rnacentral:rRNA from 1 species
AACGAACGCUGGCGGCAUGCUUAACACAUGCCAGUCGAACGGGACCUUCGGGCCUUGGGGCGCUGCUCUGCGUACGGCCGGGUGACUUACCCGUAGGUUCGGUAUCCCUCCCCUUAAGGGGUCUUAAUACCGGUUAAUGUCUUCGGACCAAGGAUUUCUCGCCUUUGGAUGGGCCCGCGUUGGUUUCGCUGGUUGGUAGGGUACAAGCCUACCAUGGCGUCGUUGCAUGGCUGGUCUGAGAGGAUGGGCAGCCACACUGGGACUGCGACACGGCCCAGAGUCCGACGGGAGGCAGCAGUGGGGAAUAUUGGACGAGGGGCGAAGACCUGAUCCAGCAGUGCCGGGGGAGUGAUGAAGGCCGUAGGGUUGUAAAGCUCUUUUACCCGGGAUGAUAAUGACAGUAACGGGAGAAUAAGCUCCGGCUAACUCCGUG